GACGAACGCUGGCGGCGUGCUUAACACAUGCAAGUCGAACGGUGAAGGGGUCUGCUUUUGUGGGCCCUGGAUGAGUGGCGAACGGGUGAGUAACACGUGAGUAACCUGCCCCCUUCUUCUGGAUAACCGCAUGAAAGUGUGGCUAAUACGGGAUAUUCUGGGUCUGUCGCAUGAUGGGUCUGGGAAAGAUUGCGCCUUUGGGUGUUUGUGGUGGGGGAUGGGCUCGCGGCCUAUCAGCUUGUUGGUGGGGUGAUGGCCUACCAAGGCGGUGACGGGUAGCCGGCCUGAGAGGGUGGACGGUCACACUGGGACUGAGACACGGCCCAGACUCCUACGGGAGGCAGCAGUGGGGAAUAUUGCACAAUGGGCGCAAGCCUGAUGCAGCGACGCCGCGUGAGGGAUGGAGGCCUUCGGGUUGUAAACCUCUUUCGCCAGUGAAGCAGGCCUGCUCCUUGUGGGUGGGUUGACGGUAGCUGGAUAAGAAGCGCCGGCUAACUACGUG
rnacentral:rRNA from 1 species